CACAGGAGGCCUUGAAUACCCAGAUCAGGAUCACACAGACACCCAGUGCCACUAAUGGUCUUCCAUAUACCUCUCUCCUCAGGCAGGGAUGCCUGACCCCACCCGGAGCUGACCUCAGAGCUGUGAUCCUGGCAGAGGGCUUUGGCGGGAAUGGGGACCUAAGCUUGAGGUUCCCUCCACCUCUCCUCGGCAGCCAUGGACUGUGAGUCCAUCCCGGAGAAAUCAGUCCUGGUUGGUGAUGCCCAGCGGCCACCGAGGCCUCAUUGCAAACUGUGUUGCUGCUGUCUACUUCCUGCCCGGCAUGGGGGUGAAGGACCAACCUACAGCCAGCCAUGACUCGUCCUCCCCACCUCGCUCUCAGAGCAGAAGAGACCCAGCCCCUGACUCGUUUUGCCAGCGAAGAAACAGUUGCCCAGGAGAGGUGGCGGUGUGCCUCUGUCUCACAGCUCCCACUGAGUCACUUGUCCAACGUGAGGUCGUUUCCUCUCCUUCCCCCGCUGCAGAGAACACAUAGGGGCCUCUCCUACCCUCCUCCCCCACUGACCUCAAGAAUAAGCCCAACAGUAAGCCUGGCACUAAUCGGGACGCUCCUCCUUGCUGUGGGGGCAGGGAAGGGGACAGGAGACCAGUCUCAGUCCCAGAUGGCUGAGCCUCAGGACACUCCACUGAGGCCUCCUCCCCAAUCUGCAAAGCUCUUCGCCUCCCGGGGGAGCACUAGUGGGUCCUGAACAACAAGCCCAUGUGGCUUGGAAGCAGAGGAUCCUGGUACUGGGAAGCCAGAUGCCUGACUUAUUGCCAAGGCUCUGCAGUGCUUCACCGUGAGACCCGAAACAGAACUGGCCACUCCCUGUGCCUCAGUUUCCUAUCUGGAACCUAGAGGAGGAAUGAGAUCAUCUCUAAGCACGCCUUCUAGUUACAGCAUUCUGUGAUCCAUACCUGUGACCUCUGGGACUCCUCAGGAAGUCUCAAGCAUCGGAGAGUGCUGGGGGAGGGAUCACCCUAACUCCAAGGAGGCAGGGAAGCCCAGGGAGACCUGUAGCUACCCUGGGCUGGCAGGGGGCACUCAUCCUGCUGCAGCCUCCCAGGGAGGAGUCCAGGGUCGGGCAGGAGGCCGGAGGACAGAGGAGAGCUCCUCGGUAUGGCCUCAGGCAGCCCGAGGCCCUCCCCGAUGUCCACACAUACCCCAGAAGCUCACCCCCUCGAGUUUCACUUCCCAUUUCUGUUCCGAGGUUACACAGUCUUUGGUCUAGCCCAGAUCUCAGGCACAGCCCCAAGCCCCCAACACACACCCCCAGUUCCCACAGUUGUCCAGACCCGAUCCCAACUCCUCCUGCCAGGCCAGCCUUCCCACCACCUUCCCAGUUGCUCCCACAGGGAGGCCGGUGGGUGCAGUCCAGCUGCUUGUGCCAAUAGAGACUCCCCUGGCCCUGCAUGGCCAGAGCCUGAUAACAUUCUCCUAAAUUAAACAGUAAACAAGAAGUUGUUUUAGAUUUUCCUGACGCUGCAGUUCCUGAUUAAUCCUCACAGCAAACAAAAGAAAGAGAGAUAAUUAACCUAAAAGAGGGUCACUUCCUGUUUCCAGGUGGAAUCUCUAGCCUGAGCCAGAGGAACCUGUUCAGAGGGGUCCAGCUCCAGAUCACCUCUCCCCUCCCCCGCCUCUCCUGUGUCUGCCCAACCCCGGGCUACACCCUCAGCCUGCCUCCUAGAUCCCACCUAAGCAAGUUGGGAGCAGGCACUCCCGCCUGGGGUUUUCCUGGCUGUGCCUAUGGCUUGCUGGACAGGGGUGGGUGGGGUGGCCGAGGCCUCAGGGCCUUUGCAGAGGACCCUCCCCUCCUCUGCUAUGUGACCUUGGACAGGCCAAGUCACUUCAGAGGCCUCAGUCUGCUCAUCCGUCAGAUUCUUUAUCUCCCAAGGAUAAAAUGAAAAAAAAUUGAGACCACUUAAGAUUAGGCAGAAAUAUUUUAUCUUAUUUUUUAGAGAUCGAUGCUGAAAUAUUUAGGGGUAAAAGGGCUUGAUGUCUAUAAUUUAAAGUACUCUGGAA
rnacentral:lncRNA from 1 species